CUUUUAUUUGUCUUCGCUCGUAGCGUCUAGUGUGACCAUCAAGACACCCUAUCGGAACCCCAACUUGAAAAAUCCUUCGUGGAUAGGUCGACCGCGCCGUUGGCUCGUCGAUAACGUUGUGGACUUGAUUCAACGAUUGUCGUGGAUGUCAGUCGUGUACGGUUCUCCCUGUACGGUUGGUAGCCGGAUCGUGAGGGUCAAGUCCCACCCAAAAUCGUAGUUAUCUCUCUCACAUCGAAAGAUUGGGCCCCAGUUCACAUCACUUGAUUUAUUUUUGUCUAUGAUUGUCAUUGAUGUGUUCCUAACAUAAUAUUUGUUAGAGUUGUGUCGAAUAUUAUUGUAUAAGAUAGGUUACAGUUGGACUUGGA